AGCCAGUUGGCGGGGUAACGGCCCACCAAGGCGACGAUGGAUAGGGGUUCUGAGAGGAAGGUCCCCCACAUUGGAACUGAGACACGGUCCAAACUCCUACGGGAGGCAGCAGUGAGGAAUAUUGGUCAAUGGUCGGCAGACUGAACCAGCCAAGUCGCGCGAGGGAAGACGGCCCUACGGGUUGUAAACCUCUUUUGUCGGAGAGUAAAGUGCGCUACGCGUAGCGUAUUGCAAGUAUCCGAAGAAAAAGCAUCGGCUAACUCCGUGCCAGCAGCCGCGGUAAUACGGAGGAUGCGAGCGUUAUCCGGAUUUAUUGGGUUUAAAGGGUGCGUAGGCGGCACGCCAAGUCAGCGGUGAAAUUUCCGGGCUCAACCCGGAUUGUGCCGUUGAAACUGGCGAGCUAGAGUGCACAAGAGGCAGGCGGAAUGCGUGGUGUAGCGGUGAAAUGCAUAGAUAUCACGCAGAACCCCGAUUGCGAAGGCAGCCUGCUAGGGUGCGACAGACGCUGAGGCACGAAAGCGUGGGUAUCGAACAGGAUUAGAUACCCUGGUAGUCCACGCAGUAAACGAUGAAUACUAACUGUUUGCGAUACAAUGUAAGCGGUACAGCGAAAGCGUUAAGUAUUCCACCUGGGGAGUACGCCGGCAACGGUGA
rnacentral:rRNA from 1 species